rnacentral:rRNA from 1 species
UACAGAGGUCUCGAGCGUUGUUCGGAUUCAUUGGGCGUAAAGGGCGCGUAGGCGGCGGGGUAAGUCUGGUGUGAAAUCUCGGAGCUCAACUCCGAAAUUGCACUGGAUACUGCUCUGCUAGAGGGCUGGAGAGGAGAUCGGAAUUCACGGUGUAGCAGUGAAAUGCGUAGAUAUCGUGAGGAAGACCAGUGGCGAAGGCGGAUCUCUGGACAGCUCCUGACGCUGAGGCACGAAAGCGUGGGGAGCAAACAGG